AACGUAGGAGGCGAGCGUUAUCCGGAUUUAUUGGGCGUAAAGCGCAUGCAGGUGGUUUCGUAAGUCGGAUGUGAAAGCCUCUGGCUUAACUAGAGGAGGUCGUUCGAUACUGCGGAACUGGAGGUCGGAAGAGGGAAGCGGAAUUCCCGGUGUAGUGGUGGAAUGCGUAGAUAUCGGGAGGAACACCAGUGGCGAAGGCGACUUCCUGGUCCGUACCUGACGCUAAGAUGCGAAAGCGUGGGGAGCGAACGGGAUUAGAUACCCCGGUAGUCCACGCUGUAAACGAUGGGUACUGGGUAUUGGUGGUAUUGACCCCAUCAGUGCCGAAGCUAACGCGUUAAGUACCCCGCCUGGGGACUACGGCCGCAAGGUUAAA
rnacentral:rRNA from 1 species